AUUGAACGCUGGCGGUAUGCUUAACACAUGCAAGUCGAACGCGAAAGGCACCUUCGGGAGCUGAGUAGAGUGGCGGACGGGUGAGUAACGCGUAGGAAUCUGCCUAGUAGUGGGGGAUAGCCCGGAGAAAUCAGGAUUAAUACCGCAUACGCCCUACGGGGGAAAGAUGGCCUCUUCUUGAGAGCUAUCACUAUUAGAUGAGCCUGCGUCGGAUUAGCUGGUUGGUGAGGUAAUGGCUCACCAAGGCGACGAUCCGUAGCUGGUCUGAGAGGACGAUCAGCCACACUGGGACUGAGACACGGCCCAGACUCCUACGGGAGGCAGCAGUGGGGAAUAUUGGACAAUGAGCGAAAGCUUGAUCCAGCAAUACCGCGUGUGUGAAGAAGGCCUGCGGGUUGUAAAGCACUUUCAGUGGGGAAGAAAAGCUUAAGGUUAAUACCCUUGAGUCUUGACGUUACCUACAGAAGAAGCACCGGCUAACUCCGUGCCAGCAGCCGCGGUAAUACGGAGGGUGCAAGCGUUAAUCGGAAUUACUGGGCGUAAAGCGCGCGUAGGCGGUUUGGUCAGUCAGAUGUGAAAGCCCUGGGCUCAACCUGGGAACUGCAUUUGAUACUGCCAAGCUAGAGUAUGGUAGAGGGAAGUGGAAUUCCGGGUGUAGCGGUGAAAUGCGUAGAUAUCCGGAGGAACACCAGUGGCGAAGGCGACUUCCUGGACCAAUACUGACGCUGAGGUGCGAAAGCGUGGGUAGCAAACAGGAUUAGAUACCCUGGUAGUCCACGCCGUAAACGAUGUCAACUAGCCGUUGGGGCCAUUUAAGGCUUUAGUGGCGCAGCUAACGCGAUAAGUUGACCGCCUGGGGAGUACGGUCGCAAGAUUAAAACUCAAAGGAAUUGACGG
rnacentral:rRNA from 1 species